rnacentral:rRNA from 1 species
UACGUAGGGGGCAAGCGUUGUCCGGAUUUAUUGGGCGUAAAGAGCGUGUAGGCGGCUAGAUAGGUCCGUUGUGAAAACUCGAGGCUCAACCUCGAGACGUCGAUGGAAACCAUCUGGCUAGAGUCCGGAAGAGGAGAGUGGAAUUCCUGGUGUAGCGGUGAAAUUCGUAGAUAUUCGGAAGAACACCAGUGGCGAAGGCGACACACUGGGCCAUUACUGACGCUGAGGCGCGAAAGCGUGGGGAGCAAACAGG